rnacentral:sRNA from 1 species
CCACCACCACUACCUCCAUCCCUUUGACUCCCUAUCGACAACUUCUAUCAGCGCAGUUUCAACGAAAUAUGUCUGCUGCACUGACUCGAUGACUUCCGCCUUUACCGACGAUCGAAUAAACAAUGGGAUCUUGGUCGACUAUGGCGAAAUACGCGAUGAUGGGUGUUUUCUGCUACUGAUUAAGAAUGACCGGGGAAGAAGUGGCAACUCAAACAUCUUCGUUGUACCUUUGAAUUCAUUGACCAGAAGGUCAAUCCGUUCCAAAUCGAAUGUCCAGCGCAGACAUCUAGAAGUUGUGUUGGAUGACGAACAAAGUAACGAUGAAGAUGUGAGGUCUCCGCGUCUUGUAGAGGACGGUGAUGCAGCGGCUGCGCCAGACAGUAGCAAUCUGGAAACACUUGCAGGCGGGCCAGGAGGGCAGAUGAUUGAGAUGCAAGUUGAAGAGCAUUUCGCGAAAGAGGAAACUCUGGCGAAGACAUACAGGCAGGCAGGAUCCCAGAAAUGAGGUCGAGUGCUUGAAACAGCCAAACUCCCGUGGGUGCAUAGAGUCUUCUAUUCCUGUCUCUUCUGGAAUGGAAUAGUUGGAGGCCGGAGUCACCAUGGGGCAUGGGGUUAAGUACACCAAAUACACCUGCAUAUGUACCUCAAGUGCAUGUCACGCUAUCUGCCAGUAGU